UACAGAGGGGGCAAGCGUUGUCCGGACUGACUGGGCGUAAAGCGCACGCAGGCGGUUGUGGGCGUCGGGGCUGAAAGUCCACUGCUUAACUGUGGGCUUGCGGUCGAUACGGGCAUCACUGGAGUUCGGCAGGGGAGACUGGAAUUCCUGGUGUAGCGGUGAAAUGCGCAGAUAUCAGGAGGAACACCGGUGGCGAAGGCGGGUCUCUGGGCCGAUACUGACGCUGAGGAGCGAAAGCGUGGGGAGCGAACAGG
rnacentral:rRNA from 1 species